UGGGGAAUAUUGGACAAUGGGCGCAAGCCUGAUCCAGCAAUGCCGCGUGAGUGAUGAAGGCCUUAGGGUUGUAAAGCUCUUUCGCACGCGACGAUGAUGACGGUAGCGUGAGAAGAAGCCCCGGCUAACUUCGUGCCAGCAGCCGCGGUAAUACGAAGGGGGCUAGCGUUGUUCGGAAUUACUGGGCGUAAAGGGCGCGUAGGCGGCCUGUUUAGUCAGAAGUGAAAGCCCCGGGCUCAACCUGGGAAUUGCUUUUGAUACUGGCAGGCUCGAGUUCCGGAGAGGAUGGUGGAAUUCCCAGUGUAGAGGUGAAAUUCGUAGAUAUUGGGAAGAACACCGGUGGCGAAGGCGGCCAUCUGGACGGACACUGACGCUGAGGCGCGAAAGCGUGGGGAGCAAACAGG
rnacentral:rRNA from 1 species